CUUGAAGUCAGCAAGACCAAUAACCCACCAAUUCUGUACACAUUUUGGUGACCACGAAUGGACUAUCACCUAUUGCCAAGCGGUGAGACUAUCGCCUAUCGCCAAACGAAUCGAGGCCAUCAAGCUACAGAUGGUCUUAUAAAUGGAAGCCCAAAUGAGUUCAACUAACAACUUCUACCGAGGACCCCUGGACCGACCCACUGGUACUUUCACUGGCCUGGAGAGCUCCCAACUGGAGGACACUACAACUGCAGGGACCUUUCAUCGCCCCUGUCCAGCAGGAAAUAGCUAGGGCGGUCAUCUGCCAAAUUCCCAACAGUAGUUGGGGUGUCCCGUUUAGAGGGGGGAUUGAGAGGUGACAACAUGCUAGCAGCCCUCGCUCACUCUCAGUGCCUCCUCGGCCUCGGUGUCUGUUCUGGCCACACUUGAGGCGUCCUUCAGCCCACCACUAUGCUGCGGGGGCCCCUCUCUGGGGCUGGCUGAGGCCGGAGCUGGCUCCCUCUGCUGGCAGGGAGGUGUGGAGGGAGAGGCGCGGGUGGGAGCUGGGGCUGCACGUGCACUCACGGGCCAGCGUGGGUUCUGGGUGGGCACGGGCUCAGUGGCCCUGCACCCUUUGUGGCCAGCUGGUGCCUGCUGGGCUUGAUCAGGGGACAAGCUCCCUCUGGGCUACCAGAGUGCCCAGCCUAGGUGAUGCAAAGUCCCAUGGCAAGUGCCAUUGAGAGGUAAAGCUGGCUGGGCUUCUGGGUCGGGUGAGGACUUGGAGAACUUUUGCGUCUAGCUAAAGGAUUGUAAACGCACCAAUCAGCACUCUGUGUCUAGCUAAAGGAUUGUAAAUUCACCAAUCAGCACUCUGUGUCUAGCUAAAGGUUUGUAAAUGCACCAAUCAGCUCUCUGUGUCUAGCUAAUCUGAUAGGGACUUGGAGAACUUUUGCAUCUAACUAAAGGAUUGUAAAUGCACCAAUCAGCACCCUAUCAAAGCGGACCAAUCAGCUCUCUGUAAAAUGGACCAAUCAGCAGGACGUGGGCGGGGCUAGAUAAGGGAAUAAAAGCAGGCUGCCUGACCUAGCAGUGGCAAGCUGCUUGGGUCCGUUUCCAGGUCGUGGAAGUUGUGUUCUUUUUCUCUUUGCAAUAAAUCUUGAUGCUGCUUA